GAUCAUGCUCAGAUUGAACGCUGGCGGCAGGCUUAACACAUGCAAGUCGAGCGGGGGAGGUUGCUUCGGUAACUGACCUAGCGGCGGACGGGUGAGUAAUGCUUAGGAAUCUGCCUAUUAGUGGGGGACAACAUUCCGAAAGGAAUGCUAAUACCGCAUACGUCCUACGGGGGAAAGCAGGGGAUCUUCGGACCUUGCGCUAAUAGAUGAGCCUAAGUCGGAUUAGCUAGUUGGUGGGGUAAAGGCCUACCAAGG
rnacentral:rRNA from 1 species